rnacentral:rRNA from 1 species
GGUGCAAGCGUUAAUCGGAAUUACUGGGCGUAAAGCGUGCGCAUGCGGUUAUUCAAGACAGAUGUGAAAUCCCCGGGCUCAACCUGGGAACUGCAUUUGUGACUGCAUGGCUGGAGUGCGGCAGAGGGGGAUGGAAUUCCGCGUGUAGCAGUGAAAUGCGUAGAUAUGCGGAGGAACACCGAUGGCGAAGGCAAACCCCUGGGCCUGCACUGACGCUCAUGCACGAAAGCGUGGGGAGCAAACAGG